rnacentral:rRNA from 1 species
ACGGCUCAGUAACACGUGGAUAACCUGCCCUUGGGACCGGGAUAACCCCGGGAAACUGGGGAUAAUACCGGAUAACGCAUAUCUGCUGGAAUGCUUUAUGCGUAAAAUGGAUUUGUCUGCCCAAGGAUGGGUCUGCGGCCUAUCAGGUAGUAGUGGGUGUAAUGUACCUACUAGCCUACGACGGGUACGGGUUGUGAGAGCAAGAGCCCGGAGAUGGAUUCUGAGACAUGAAUCCAGGCCCUACGGGGCGCAGCAGGCGCGAAAACUUUACAAUGCGGGAAACCGUGAUAAGGGGACACCGAGUGCCAGCAUCAUAUGUUGGCUGUCCAGAUGUGUAAAAUACAUCUGUUAGCAAGGGCCGGGCAAGACCGGUGCCAGCCGCCGCGGUAACACCGGCGGCCCGAGUGGUGAUCGUGAUUAUUGGGUCUAAAGGGUCCGUAGCCGGUUUGGUCAGUCCUCCGGGAAAUCUGACGGCUCAACCGUUAGGCUUUCGGUGGAUACUGCCAGACUUGGAACCGGGAGAGGUAAGAGGUACUACAGGGGUAGGAGUGAAAUCUUGUAAUCCCUGUGAGACCACCUGUGGCGAAGGCGUCUUACCAGAACGGGUUCGACGGUGAGGGACGAAAGCUGGGGGCACGAACCGGAUUAGAUACCCGGGUAGUCCCAGCCGUAAACGAUGCUCGCUAGGUGUCAGGCAUGGCGCGACCGUGUCUGGUGCCGCAGGGAAGCCGUGAAGCGAGCCACCUGGGAAGUACGGCCGCAAGGCUGAAACUUAAAGGAAUUGGCGGGGGAGCAC